AGGUGAAUUAGCUGAAGAUGGACCAUUUGGUACAGUACCUUACAUUGCAAGACCUCAUCACCAGCAGAUAAGUCACACAGCUUUCCUGGUGAAACUGAGGAAGAUAAAAAGCCAAAACAGAGAUUUUGCUGCUUCAAAUAGUGAAAGUGGACUGCAUCACAACAAAUAAUUUUUAAAAAGAAUUGUUUAGUACUGUAAUAUGUUUCAUUGUCUAUUUAUUUUUUAUAAUAAAAGUUAUUUUACUACCUCUG